AGGACAGGACAGCAUGAAGCUCUCAGCAUCAUAUCAACUGCUCUCGACAAUUUCUCUUGUUCUACUGGGACAAACUGAAGAGCAGAGGGUGGAGAUCCCACCUAUCAGACAGACUACAGUGAUGUGAAAAGGUUUUGGGUCACAGGUGAGUAAGCAGUCAUACAGGUGCUUAUUUGUCUCAGGGUGAACUCCCCAUCUUU
rnacentral:lncRNA from 1 species